rnacentral:rRNA from 1 species
GACGAACGCUGGCGGCGUGCUUAACACAUGCAAGUCGAACGGAAAGGCCCUGCUUUUGUGGGGUGCUCGAGUGGCGAACGGGUGAGUAACACGUGAGUAACCUGCCCUUGACUUUGGGAUAACUUCAGGAAACUGGGGCUAAUACCGGGUAGGAGCUCCUGCUGCAUGGUGGGGGUUGGAAAGUUUCGGCGUUUGGGGAUGGACUCGCGGCUUAGCAGCUGGUUGGGGGGGUAGUGGCUUACAAAGGUUUUGAUGGGUAGCCAGCCUGAGAGGGUGACAGGCCACAGUGGGCAUGGGAAGCGGCCCAGACGCAUACGGGAGGCAGGGGUGGGGAAUAUAGGAAACAGGGCGGAGUCCUGAAGCAGCAACGCCGGGUGCGAGAUGACGGCCUUCGGGUUGUAAACCGCUUUCGCCUGUGACGAAGCGUGAGUGACGGAAAUGGGUAAAGAAGCACGGGCUAACUACGG